rnacentral:ncRNA from 1 species
CUGAGACACGGCCCAGACUCCUACGGGAGGCAGCAGUGGGGAAUUUUCCGCAAUGGGCGAAAGCCUGACGGAGCAAUGCCGCGUGGAGGUGGAAGGCCUACGGGUCGUCAACUUCUUUUCUCGGAGAAGAAACUAUGACGGUAUCUGAGGAAUAAGCAUCGGCUAACUCUGUGCCAGCAGCCGCGGUAAGACAGAGGAUGCAAGCGUUAUCCGGAAUGAUUGGGCGUAAAGCGUCUGUAGGUGGCUUUUCAAGUCCGCCGUCAAAUCCCAGGGCUCAACCCUGGACAG